rnacentral:miRNA from 2 species
AUAUUACCAUUAGCUCAUCUUU